rnacentral:rRNA from 1 species
UACGUAGGGGGCAAGCGUUGUCCGGAUUUAUUGGGCGUAAAGAGCGUGUAGGCGGCCAGAUAGGUCCGUUGUGAAACCUGGAGGCUUAACCUCCAGCGGUCGAUGGAAACCAUUUGGCUAGAGUCCGGAAGAGGAGAGUGGAAUUCCUGGUGUAGCGGUGAAAUGCGUAGAGAUCCGGAGGAACACCAGUGGCGAAGGCGACACGCUGGGCCGUACCUGACACUGAUGCGCGACAGCAUGGGGAGCAAACAGG